AUGGAAAAGCUAGGGCUCUUCCAUUUGCUUCCAGAACGUAUUUCUCCAGUUCUCCGCUCUCUCGCUCAAGACCCGAACCCCUGGCCUCUGCAAGUAGAUCACCAGCGAGCUGUUUUGAGGAAACAAAUCCUUUUCCUCCGAUACCAAUUUUAUCAGGCCUCGAUAAUCUUGGUGUAUCAGGCCUUGAUAAUCUUGGUGUAUCAGGCCUUGAUAAUCUUGGUGUAGGUUUUGGACGAUGGGUGCCCUAACAUUUAUUCAAACAAGAGUGACUCUUUGUGCUGCUCUUGUGCCGACCAUUCUAAAGAAAUGGAAGGAAGCAAUGCCUGUCAGGAGAAUGUGCAUUUUCCAACACCUCUAAUAUUUGGCAAAGUAGGCGUGAGGAUGUUUGAGACAUCAGAGGAAAACCAAAAUUUUAUGGCAGCUCACCUGUUAGCACAGUGGUGGAUGGAUGAUUUGGAACUUCAAACUUUCUCCCCUGAGAUCAUCAGCAGGAAGUUGACACCCGUCGCCUUAGAUCCUUAGAUCUCCAAAGUCUGAGUGACUCUAAACAAAAUUUUCUGCAAAUUUGAGAUGCUAUUUUGUAUAUUUUAGCUAGGAGCUUGCUAUUACGGCGAAGAAGUUUAUAUAGAUGCACUGAUGUAGAAAAAAAUCAAUGCCUUUCCGACGAAAUUACAAAUCCGGAAGGCAAUCUUUCCUCUUGGCAGCUGAAAGAAAACAUUUUUUCACUUGA